ensembl:snRNA U1 U1 spliceosomal RNA
AUACUUAUCUGGCAGGGGAGACACCAUGAUCACGAAGGUGGUUUUCCCAGGGCGAGGCUCAUCCAUUGCACUCUGGCUGUGCUGACCCCUGCGAUUUCCCCAAAUGUGGGAAACUCCAGGGUAUAAUUUGUGGUAGUGAGGGACUGCAUUCACACUCUCCCCUG